CCUACGGGUGGCAGCAGUGGGGGAUAUUGCACAAUGGAGGGAACUCUGAUGCAGCGACGCCGCGUGAGGGAAGAAGGUUUUCUGAUUGUAAACCUCUGUCUUCGGUGACGAAACGACACGGUAGCCGAGGAGGCUGCCACGGCUAACUACGUGCCAGCAGCCGCGGUAAUACGUAGGUGGCAAGCGUUGUCCGGAAUUACGGGGUGUAAAGGGAGGGUAGGCGGGGAAGAAAGUUGAAUGUUUACGGUACGGGCUAACGCUGUAAGAGCGUUCGAAACUGGUUUUCUUGAGUGGAGUAGAGGUAAGCGGAAGUCCUAGUGUAGCGGUGAAAUGCGUAGAUAUUAGGAGGAACACCAGUGGCGAAGGCGGCUUACUGGGCUUUAACUGACGCUGAGGCUCGAAAGCGUGGGUAGCAAACAGGAUUAGAUACCCGUGUAGUC
rnacentral:rRNA from 1 species